rnacentral:rRNA from 1 species
GACGAACGCUGGCGGCGUGCUUAACACAUGCAAGUCGAACGGAAAGGCCCUGCUUUUGUGGGGUGCUCGAGUGGCGAACGGGUGAGUAACACGUGAGUAACCUGCCCUUGACUUUGGGAUAGCUUCAGGAAACUGGGGCUAAUACCGGAUAGGAGCUCCUGCUGCAUGGUGGGGGUUGGAAAGUUUCGGCGGUUGGGGAUGGACUCGCGGCUUAUCAGCUUGUUGGUGGGGUAGUGGCUUACCAAGGCUUUGACGGGUAGCCGGCCUGAGAGGGUGACCGGCCACAUUGGGACUGCGAUACGGCCCAGACUCCUACGGGAGGCAGCAGUGGGGAAUAUUGCACAAUGGGCGGAAGCCUGAUGCAGCAACGCCGCGUGCGGGAUGACGGCCUUCGGGUUGUAAACCGCUUUCGCCUGUGACGAAGCGUGAGUGACGGUAAUGGGUAAAGAAGCACCGGCUAACUACGUG